rnacentral:snRNA from 1 species
GGAUGUGAGGGCGAUCUGGCUGCGACAUCUGUCACCCCAUUGAUCGCCAGGGUUGAUUCGGCUGAUCUGGCUGGCUAGGCGGGUGUCCCCCUCCUCCCUCACCGAUCCAUGUGCGUCCCUCCCGAAGCUGCGCGCUCGGUCGAAGAGGACGACCUUCCCCCCCGAGGAGAGGACCGGUCUUCGGUCAAGGGUAUACGAGUAGCUGCGCUCCCCUGCUAGAACCUCCAAACAAGCUCUCAAGAAUGUAAAAAUGUAUUUUAAAUUUUUAUGUUGCUUGAAUUGCAUUUGAAAUUUUAUUUUAUUUUUAUUGAAU